rnacentral:rRNA from 1 species
CCUACGGGCGACAGCAGUGGGGAAUAUUGGACAAUGGGGGCAACCCUGAUCCAGCCAUGCCGCGUGUGUGAAGAAGGCCCUCGGGUUGUAAAGCACUUUCAGUGAGGAAGAACGCCUGGUGGUUAAUACCCAUCAGGAAAGACAUCACUCACAGAAGAAGCACCGGCUAACUCCGUGCCAGCAGCCGCGGUAAUACGGAGGGUGCGAGCGUUAAUCGGAAUUACUGGGCGUAAAGCGCGCGUAGGUGGCUUGAUAAGCCGGUUGUGAAAGCCCCGGGCUCAACCUGGGAACGGCAUCCGGAACUGUCAAGCUAGAGUGCAGGAGAGGAAGGUAGAAUUCCCGGUGUAGCGGUGAAAUGCGUAGAGAUCGGGAGGAAUACCAGUGGCGAAGGCGGCCUUCUGGACUGACACUGACACUGAGGUGCGAAAGCGUGGGUAGCAAACAGGAUUAGAUACCCUUGUAGUC